rfam:Camelus ferus unplaced genomic scaffold scaffold465, whole genome shotgun sequence.
GAGGGUACAGCUCAGUGGCAGCGUGCGUGCCUAGCAUGCAUGAGGUCCUGGAUUCAAUCCCCAGUACCUCCA